UGGGCUACUAGCUCAGGUGGUAGAGCACUUGACUUUUAAUCAAGUUGUCGCGGGUUCGAGUCCCGCGUGGCUCAU
rnacentral:tRNA from 1 species